UGGGGAAUAUUGGACAAUGGGCGCAAGCCUGAUCCAGCCAUGCCGCGUGAGUGAUGAAGGCCUUAGGGUUGUAAAGCUCUUUCACCGAUGAAGAUAAUGACGGUAGUCGGAGAAGAAGCCCCGGCUAACUUCGUGCCAGCAGCCGCGGUAAUACGAAGGGGGCUAGCGUUGUUCGGAAUUACUGGGCGUAAAGCGCACGUAGGCGGAUAUUUAAGUCAGGGGUGAAAUCCCAGAGCUCAACUCUGGAACUGCCUUUGAUACUGGGUAUCUUGAGUAUGGAAGAGGUAAGUGGAAUUGCGAGUGUAGAGGUGAAAUUCGUAGAUAUUCGCAGGAACACCAGUGGCGAAGGCGGCUUACUGGUCCAUUACUGACGCUGAGGUGCGAAAGCGUGGGGAGCAAACAGG
rnacentral:rRNA from 1 species